rnacentral:tRNA from 1 species
GGGGGUAUGGCGAAAUUGGUAGACGCUGCGGACUUAAUCCGUUGGCUUUUUAGACCGUGAGGGUUCAAGUCCCUCUACCCCCA